GACGAACGCUGGCGGCGUGGAUUAGGCAUGCAAGUCGAACGGUAUCAUCCUUUCGGGGGUGAGAGAGUGGCGAACUGGUGAGUAACACGUAGGUUAUCUACCCUCAAGACGGGGACAACCCAGGGAAACUUGGGCUAAUACCGGAUGUGAGCAACUUUUAGUUGUUUGAAAGGUGGCGUAAGCUGUCGCUUGGGGAUGAGCCUGCGUCCUAUUAGUUAGUUGGUGAGGUAACGGCUCACCUAGGCAAUGAUAGGUAGGCGGCCUUAACGGGUGGUCGCCCACACUGGGAUUGAGAUACGGCCCAGACUCCUACGGGAGGCAGCAGUCGAGAAUAGUCUACAAUGGUCGGAAGACUGAUAGUGCGACGCCGCGUGAACGAUGAAUCCCUUCGGGGUUAAAGUUCUUUUAUAUGUGAGCAGUGCUUCUUAUAUUAACAGUAUGGGGAAGAGAUAUUAGCAUAUGAAUAAGCAACGGCUAACUCCGUGCCAGCCAGCCGCGGU
rnacentral:rRNA from 1 species